rnacentral:rRNA from 1 species
AGAGACAGCAGUCGCCACGGUAAUACGUAGGUGGCAAGCGUUGUCCGGAAUUAUUGGGCGUAAAGCGGGCGCAGACGGUUACUUAAGCAGGAUGUGAAAUCCCCGGGCUCAACCUGGGAACUGCGUUCUGAACUGGGUGACUAGAGUGUGUCAGAGGGAGGUAGAAUUCCACGUGUAGCAGUGAAAUGCGUAGAGAUGUGGUGGAAUACCGAUGGCGAAGGCAGCCUCCUGGGAUAACACUGACGUUCAUGCCCGAAAGCGUGGGUAGCAAACAGGAUUAGAUACCCGGGUAGUCCCUGUCUCUUAUAC